rnacentral:rRNA from 1 species
AAAUUGAAGAGUUUGAUCAUGGCUCAGAUUGAACGCUGGCGGCAGGCUUAACACAUGCAAGUCGAGCGGUAGCACAGAGAGCUUGCUCUCGGGUGACGAGCGGCGGACGGGUGAGUAAUGUCUGGGAAACUGCCUGAUGGAGGGGGAUAACUACUGGAAACGGUAGCUAAUACC